rnacentral:rRNA from 1 species
AUUGAACGCUGGCGGCAUGCUUUACACAUGCAAGUCGAACGGUAACAGCACUUCGGUGGCUGACGAGUGGCGAACGGGUGAGUAAUACAUCGGAACGUGCCUAGUAGUGGGGGAUAACUACUCGAAAGAGUAGCUAAUACCGCAUGAGAUCUAAGGAUGAAAGCAGGGGACCUUCGGGCCUUGCGCUACUAGAGCGGCUGAUGGCAGAUUAGGUAGUUGGUGGGAUAAAAGCUUACCAAGACGACGAUCUGUAGCUGGUCUGAGAGGACGACCAGCCACACUGGGACUGAGACACGGCCCAGACUCCUACGGGAGGCAGCAGUGGGGAAUUUUGGACAAUGGGCGCAAGCCUGAUCCAGCAAUGCCGCGUGCAGGAUGAAGGCCUUCGGGUUGUAAACUGCUUUUGUACGGAACGAAAAGCCCUCUUCUAAUACAGGAGGGUCAUGACGGUACCGUAAGAAUAAGCACCGGCUAACUACGUG